rnacentral:misc_RNA from 1 species
UUGAUUAUUUAAUUUUUUCUCAGACUCUGAAAGUAUGCAGGUUCUUGGUCUCCGGCGGAUCACCGGAUCGCUCCAGUGAGUCCGCCGAAGCAACUGUAGCUUUUAGGCAAAAGGGUGGAGGGUAGAUUGCUGAGAGCAAUCACACUCGGUAAUGAUCCUUCCGCAGGUUCACCUACGGAAA